AUCUAUUUUUAGAAUAGUGGUUAUGUCAUUAUAGUGCAUUAUAGUGAUUACGUAUCACACGUAAUCAGCGUGAAACAGCGUAACACAAUGAAAGCCAGUGACAACGGCACAUGAAAAAUAUGUGUUCCUACAAACACCAAACCGAAAUCUUAGUCUCGAGAACAUGAUUUCAAACUGUGGAUCUCGAAUAAAUUCCAGAAGUCUUUUGAAUUGAACAGGAGGGUAAAAGAAGAGUCGAAGCACGUGAUCAGUUGCCCCUUGACUUGGUGAAACAGUCGAAUUGAGGAAUAAAUGAACGCUCCUAUUAAUACCUGAAGAGCUAGCUAGACUUCGAUCACUGUCCCCUCUCCAGAAACGGCGGAAUACAGUUUUAAGGAAGGGGAGUGGGGGGCUAAUCUGGGUGAUCCGGUGUGAUGCCCCCGUUCUCUGAAAAUUUCGAAAUCAUAAAGGCUCUCGGAUACGCAAUUUCCAAUGUUCUGAGAGGCAAUUGCAACAUAUUUUUUUGUAUUAAACAAAUGUCAAAGCAUUAUGCAACUCAUAGUCUCCCCCGCAACCUUUCUUAGUAGUGUCGUCACGCAUUUUUGCUGAAAACGUUAGGGGGCUCAAGCACCCCGCGUGCUCGGUCACUGCUCCCCUAGACAAAUAAGCAAACAAACGUCAACCAGUCGCUCAAAUGAAGAACAGAAGGCUUAAAUCACAGCUCAGGUUGUCAGUAUCUUAGUCGUUGCUAUAUAAAACUGAACUCGAGAAAAGGACAAUGCAUCUGAUUUGGGAAGAGUACAGUUUAACAUGUUGACCUGAUUCUAUCUAUCUCAAAACGAACGGUAUAUCUGACAAAGCAAGAGCUUAAAUAGCUGUCAGGCUCUCAAAAACGUUGAGACUACUAUAGCUAGUUUAAUAAGUUUGGGCAGUACGUUAUAACCACCUCAGUGGCAAUACUACUCCCACUUCUCAUAGACUUUCUUUUUUUUUGUACAUGAGCUUACGAAACUUGUGAACUUGUGUUUGUUUUGGUUUCUACGUCAGUUCUGAUGAAACGGAAUAAGUUCAGUCAUGAGGAACAAAGUGGUGAAUGACUCAAUGGCUUUUUAUCCAGUUUGAAAAAAAACAUGUUUUAAUGAAAUCUAGCCGCAAGGGGUAAAACGUUUUCCUGUAUAUGAUAAAGCAAAAACAAGCGUUA